UGAGCUCCGACUCAGACAAUAUUUACCUCUGUUUCGGAAAAUAAAGAGGAGUAACUGGCGCUAAGUUUAGUUGGGAAACUUUCUUAGUAGUUUUUCAAAAAUAUUCCAACUAAAACCCGAGCCAGUAACACGUCUAUUUUUCACUCAACUCCCCUAAAACAGGUAAACAUAGUCAAGGUCACAGCUCAACCAGCUAGAGCUGCACUAUACACACAUUUGAGGAUAGUGAUGCAGUCGAGUCUCGACUUAUGCAACAUUUCACACUGCGUCUUCACAUCCCGUCAUCGACGUACUUUUUACCUAAAACCAGUUUUCGGCAGGCGUUGCCAUGACAGCAAGCCGUAUUGUACGGUACCCGUCGACGGGACGAGAAGCCAGAUAUCUGACAGAUCUGACGUCCGUAGAGUUGAGCGUCGCAUUUCAUUGGUCUUCACGAGAUGAGAGCGCUCUCUCUAUUGGGUGGUUGCUUUUCUCGCGUUCGCAAAGUAUGAAUGCUUCUCCCUUUUCGGAAAACGUUACUCUGUCCGCUUUACGUAGCGAACGUGAUGUGCGGACUCUGUUUGAAUUACGCUUUACGUAAGGGAUGCGUUCCAAGACUCCUCGCGUAAAGCGCAAUUCAGACAUGGUUUAACUUACGCACUCUUUUUAAAAUUAAGGCAAUACAAAAAUCAAAUUGCUUUUGGUUCAACAAAUUGUUGAUAUUUACACAUAUUACAACUGUUUUUUUGCAUUUUCCCACAAAAUCAUAUAAAUCUAAAGAUAGAUAACCAACAACUUACAUUUUUAAAGACUUCAUCCCAGGUCUUGGGAAUCUCUUCAAUUUCAUCAACGGUUGAUCUGCAAGUUUUUAAUAAACAUUAAAAUAAGAAUAAUAAGCCAACUGAAAGUAGUAGAAGAAAUGAAAGGAAACUACAGUAAUCUCCCGAUUAUCACUUAACAAUCAGGAACAUUUUCGCAGCAAAAAGCAUUUACCAAUGGCAGUUUUUUUUUUUUUUUUUUUGGUCAAAAAAUUGAAAAUAAACUCAGAUGUAUUUAUUUACUUAAUUUUUGUUGUGCUUUCUUCCAUCGUACAUACACUUGUUCUUUAUUAAUAAUUAGUUCUGUUGUGCAAAAAUACAAAAUAUUUCUGCUGUACUGUAUAUAAUUUCACUGUUUGACGAAUGCGUCAAUACAGCUACGUUUUUGAGGAAAGGACAAUUUUUACCUUAUUUAUCCCUCAUUUUAGCCUUUUUGCUGUUUAUCCGCGGCACUUGUGCCAUCCACUUCCGCAGAUAAUCGGGAGUUCACUGUAGUACGAACAUGAAAUGAAUUACUGAAUGUAGAAAAAUUUUUUUUUAACCAACUUCAACAACAGCUGGAGACUACUUUUUUGAUUUUAGCAGUCGUAUUAUUUACAUAUGUUCCUAGUGCUUAAACUAUUAUAACCCCAUUUUUUAUUAAUAAAGUGUUAAUCGAUUCGUUCCAGAAUAACUCCAACUUCAUCAAUAGGAGGAGUCAAAUUAUACCUUGUGAUCUCAAUUUUAACCUUUUUUUUCAGCCUGGGCUCUUAAUAACUCAACUAUGGGAACAAAAAAUAAGAAACUACUUUGGUGUUGCUUGCUAUUAAGUCUUAUUAAGUAAGAUCAUUCUUAAAUAAUUAAAUUAUUUCUAUCAAUUUAAUAGCAAUAAAUCAAAUUUACCAUUCUUGUAUCACUCACGCUAUUAUUUUAUUGUCCAUCACAGUUGAAAAAAGAAAAUAUUAAAAUUAAAAACAUAUGAAACUCUGAAAACCGACGACAGCAAAAAACACUAAAAGGUAAGAAAUUACAUUUGAUAUCGUCUUAUUGAGCAAAAAAAAAAAAAAAAUUCUUUCAGAUGUAAAAAAUUCCCAUUUAGUUAGUUUUAUUGAAGUUUUAAGUAAGAAUCUAUUACAAACCUUCUUGCUUCAGAAUCAGAAUAAUCAUCAUUGCUGCUAUCAAUUGGGCUGCUCUGUAAGGGACUGUAGACUUUCCCCUAUUUAAAAAAAAAAAAAAGAAUUAAAAAAAAAAAAAGAUAGUUACUCCGAUGUUUUAAAAACCUUGAACAACAACUUACGAGAUUUAUCGAAUCCUCUAUAUGCUUUAAAAGCUCUUCUUUAAAUGCAGAAUAUUCUUCAGGAACCUUUAAAUCAUCAGUUAUCUUUAUUUUCCUAAUAGUAAAAAAAAUGAUUAAAAUAAGAAUUAUAAUAAGCCAACUGAAAGUAGUAGAAGAAAUGAAAGGAAACUACAGUAAACUCCCGAUUAUCAUUUAACAAUCAGGAACAUUUUCGCAGCAAAAAGCAUUUACCAAUAGCAGUUUUUUUUUGGUCAAAAAAUUGAAAAUAAACUAAACAUUUCUAGUGUACUGUACAUAAUUUCACUGUUUGACGAAUGCAUCAAUACAGCUACGUUUAUGAGGAAAGGACAAUUUUUACCUUAUUUGUCCCUCUCAUUUUAGCCUUUUUGCUGUUUAUCCGCGGCACUUGUGCCAUCCACUUCCGCAGAUAAUCGGGAGUUCACUGUAGUACGAACAUGAAAUGAAUUGCUGAAUGUAGAAAAAACAUUUUUUAACCGACUUCAACAACAGCUGGAGGCGACUCUUUUGAUUUUAGCAGUCGUAUUAUUUACAUAUGUUCCACCUAGUGCUUCAACUAUUAUAACCCCAUUUUUUAUUAAUAAAGUGUUAAUCGAUUCGUUCCAGAAUAACAUGGGGUACCAACUUCACCAAGAGGAGGAGUCGAUUAUACCUCGUGCAUCUCAAUUUUAACCUUUUUUUUUUUAGCCUGGGCUCUUAAUAACCCGACCAUGGGGACAAAAAAUAAGGAACUACUUUGGUGUUGCUUACUAUUAUUAGUCUUAUUAAUUAAGAUCAUUCUUAAAUAAUUAAAUUAUUUCUAUCAGUUUAAUAGCAAUAAAUCAAAUUUACCAUUUUGGAAUAUAAACUCACGCUAUUAUUUUAUUGUCCAUCACAGUUGAAAAAAGAAAAUAUUAAAAUUAAAAACGUAUGAAAUUCUGAAAACCGACGACAGCAAAAAACACUAAAAGUUGCAUAUUUUUCAGAAAGUAUCGUAAACCGGAGCUACUUCAGCAUCCAAGGGCUACUUGAACUAAAAUCCGACCUGGUCUCAUAAAACUCAAUGUAUGACCUUCUCCCUGACAGGUAGCAGUACUAGGCUGAGGUUGGUGCAUGAAACGGAAGAUUCGGCUAUUCCCGCCCUUUUCUGAUUGAGGUUAUGAUUGCAAGUUGUCUAAACAGUUGUUUUAGUGUCUGCAAACUUCCACAUUACUAGGCUGAGGUUGGUGCAUGAAACGGAAGAUUCGGCUAUUCCCGCCCUUUUCUGAUUGAGGUUAUGAUUGCAAGUUGUCUAAACAGUUAUUUUAGUGUCUGCAAACUUCCACAUGUAAGUUUAUGGAAAUAUCUAAUGUCAUCAAGGUAAAGAUAGUUUUUUGUUUGCAUUCUAUUUCUUAAUAAAAUAACAGUGUUCUAAGGUAUAUCGCUAUACAUUAUACAACUAACAUAGUAACUAAUAUAAGUUAGUAAACGUGCACUGGUUGUCUUGAAAUGGCAACCACAUUUCAUCACAUGUUAAGUAAGGUUUGUAAUCUUUUAAAAUAAAGAGGUUAGUUACUAUUUAUACCCGUUUAUUUGCAGGUCUGGGGAUAAAAAGUUUCCUAAAGUAAAAACGAACUCCUGGAAGUAGGAAAUAUGCGGAUUAUUGGGAGGAAAAAUUACAAUUUUGUCUACAUUCGAUUUACUCCGGAGAAAUGUCUCAGAAAGUGGCAUCAGCCCAUUUUGACUUAAUCUUUCAACUCUAAAAAGGAAAUUAAAAGGUUGGUCACAAAACAAGCCUAGUCAUCCUGCAGUAUUUAGUAGCGAGGAAGAGCAGGCAUUAAAUAAUAUCAGAAGAAAUAAAUCCACGCAAGCUAUUAAUGAGAGGGGGUUUUCAUUUGUUCUAAUGUUUAAAUAAUAAGCAUUUCAAUUGGUUUUAGCUGUAUCUUGAUUAUAUACAGAUAUCUAUUUGAGAAAUUAUGUUUGCCUAAAAAUAUUUUUUAUGCAUACGUUGACUUUAUAUUAAUUUAUAUAAAUAAUUGGCUCAUUAGAAUGUACGUUUUGAGUUUUCUUUCAAAAUCAUUGAUCCUUCUUGAUCCCACCACCUGUUUUAUAACCUUUUUUUAACAGAUUUUCCGA